AAAUGUUGGAAAUUUGAAAUUUCCAACAUUUAUAAGUCUAAGAAAUUUUAAGGUUUACACUGGUCAGCAUCUAACCCUACCUAUUGUCCUAACAAAGCUACUUUUCAUUUUCAUGUCAUGCUGAUUAAAGCAAAGGUCACUUCUUUCUCCAUGGAAUAAGAGUGUUUUAAAAUAUGCAAACUGAAAGUGAUAAACCAAAAGCACCUGGACCUUGGCACCACCAUUUCCCAAACUCUUAUUUAAGUUUGGUUAACUGAUUUGUUGCCUGGUUAUUUUAGAGCUGAAAACCAAAGGAUCAGUGAGUGGGAACGGAUUGCAGGAUCCUACUCACCUUCUUGCCUAAUAAGGAGAGGGAUGAAGGUAGAAAAAAGAAAACUAAGGCAGUCCCUUUUCCAAGCAAGCUCACUCCAAUGUUCUUUGCAAGUACUAGUAGACACAGUUAAAGGUAUUGAUGAGAAUAGCCCAAGAUGUUGCAGGAUGAAAUAGAACUGUGGCUUUAGGUGUACACAGAUAAUAUCCAACAUGUGGGGCUUUAUUCUUCAAUGACAACUAGGAAGAAGAGAAACUGAGUGAAUCGGAGGCUGAAAAAGAGAGUCUAGGAUAUAAGAUGGAAUAUUCUCCAUUGAGUAGGGUCUUAUCUCCAAGGAGACUUCGUGCUGCUGAGAAGAUCCAACAACAAGUAGAAAGGUGGGAAUCACCUUCAAGAAAGUUCCAUUUUGCUCAGAAGAACCAACCACUAGCAGAAAAGAAGUCACCUCCAAGAAAGCUCUAUACUUCUGAGAAGAAGAUCCAACAACAGACAGAAAAGGAGGAGGACAUAUUGAGUGAAUCCGAGGCUGAGAAAGAGUAUAUGGUGUAUAAGAUGGAUUCUCCACUGAGGAUAGCCUCAUCUCCAAGGAAGUUCAGUGAGGAGAAGAUCCAACCUUUUUGUGUGGCAGAAAGGUGGAAGUCAUCUCCAAGAACACUCAGAGCUACUGAGAAGAGGAUGCAACAGCAGGCAGAAAAGGAGGACACUCUGUGUGAAUCUGAGACGGAGAAAGAAAAUCUGGCAUAUAAAAUAGAAUAUUCUCCAUUGAAGAAGGCCUCAUGUCCAAAAAGGCUCAGUGCUGCUGAGAAGAAGAUCCAUCAGCAGACAGAAAGGGUGAGCAGAUCCAAGAAUGCCAGAGUGGAGGGAAGAGUAUAG
rnacentral:lncRNA from 1 species